GGGCGUGUAGCUCACGGGAGAGCACUACGUUGACAUCGUAGGGGUCACAAGUUCGAUCCUUGUCACGCCCA
rnacentral:tRNA from 1 species